GACGAACGCUGGCGGCGUGCUUAACACAUGCAAGUCGUACGGUAAGGCCCUUUCGGGGGUACACGAGUGGCGAACGGGUGAGUAACACGUGAGUAACCUGCCCACAACUUUGGGAUAACGCUAGGAAACUGGUGCUAAUACUGGAUAUGUGCUCCUGCUGCAUGGUGGGGGUUGGAAAGCUCCGGCGGUUGUGGAUGGACUCGCGGCCUAUCAGCUUGUUGGUGGGGUAGUGGCCUACCAAGGCGGCGACGGGUAGCCGGCCUGAGAGGGUGACCGGCCACAUUGGGACUGAGAUACGGCCCAGACUCCUACGGGAGGCAGCAGUGGGGAAGAUUGCACAAGGGGCGCAAGCCUGAUGCAGCAACGCCGCGUGCGGGAUAACGGCCUUCGGGUUGUAAACCGCUUUCAGCAGGGACGAAGCUUUUUGUGACGGUACCUGCAGAAGAAGCACCGGCUAACUACGUG
rnacentral:rRNA from 1 species